rnacentral:rRNA from 1 species
AUUGAACGCUGGCGGCAGGCCUAACACAUGCAAGUCGAACGGUAACAGGAAGCAGCUUGCUGCUUUGCUGACGAGUGGCGGACGGGUGAGUAAUGUCUGGGAAACUGCCUGAUGGGGGGGGAUAACUACUGGAAACGGUAGCUAAUACCGCAUAACGUCGCAAGACCAAAGAGGGGGACCUUAGGGCCUCUUGCCAUCGGAUGUGCCCAGAUGGGAUUAGCUAGUAGGUGGGGUAACGGCUCACCUAGGCGACGAUCCCUAGCUGGUCUGAGAGGAUGACCAGCCACACUGGAACUGAGACACGGUCCAGACUCCUACGGGAGGCAGCAGUGGGGAAUAUUGCACAAAGGGCGCAAGCCUGAUGCAGCCAUGCCGCGUGUAUGAAGAAGGCCUUCGGGUUGUAAAGUACUUUCAGCGGGGAGGAAGGGAGUAAAGUUAAUACCUUUGCUCAUUGACGUUACCCGCAGAAGAAGCACCGGCUAACUCCGUG